rnacentral:rRNA from 1 species
ACGGGUGAGUAACACGUAUGCAAUCCACCUGUAACAGGGGGAUAACCCGGAGAAAUCCGGACUAAUACCCCAUAAUAUGGGCGCUCCGCAUGGAGAGCCCAUUAAAGAGAGCAAUUUUGGUUACAGACGAGCAUGCGCUCCAUUAGCCAGUUGGCGGGGUAGCGGCCCACCAAAGCGACGAUGGAUAGGGGUUCUGAGAGGAAGGUCCCCCACAUUGGAACUGAGACACGGUCCAA